CAAAUAGACAAGAAACACGCAAGAUGAAAAAGAUAAAUAAACCACCUGGCACUUACCUUUUUUGUUUACCAAUUCUUCCUUUCGUCUAUUCUACCUUUUGCG
rnacentral:ribozyme from 13 species